UGCCCAAAUUGGGGUUCCAUGAUAUUUUCCCUAAACUGUACACGUUGUAGGUUUUAAUGGUUUAAUUAAAAAUGUGUUAAAGGCUCAAGAAGCGUUUGUUCACUUGGUGAAUAAGUUGAGUUUCGACAAGUUAAAAUGAGUGGAUUUCUUUAAUGGAUUGGAAAUUUGAGUCGUAAAUUUCUUUGAGUGGACAACAGUACUUGAGAGAUAUCCAAGUUUGAUUAUGCAAGAUUGCUAAUGAGCACAAACUCUUCUAAUUCUCGAAGCAAAAUUAUUGUCAUGGACAUUGAUAAAGUCCGCUACCAUAUCUACUGAAGAGCCAUGGCAUGAGUUCUUCCAAGCUUUCACCAUUAACCAAAAGGUCACAAGUCCUCCAUCCUCCAACUAUUAGGUGACAUGGAUUCCCUUAAUAUUCUGAUUUAUCUAUUUGGUGAUGUGGAAGUCAGCCAGGUCACUCCUGGAAAUAUUAAUUUGUGGGCAAUUUCUUGAUCCUAUUAUAAAUUAUUACUUGGUGCAUGAAGAAGAUUUAGGUGGCUCAAGUCAACAAAAUAGUUGUCAUUCCUUAAAUACUGGAACGUUAGAUCUCUUUCCUCAAUAUAAAAGGAAUAACUUGCAUCAAAACUCUCCAAUUGAAACUCCAAAUGACAACCACCUUUCUUCAGAUCUUGAUGCUUUUGUUAUCAAUUUUGAAAAUGAUAUGUUUCAUAAGCAAUUCAUUGUAAACCACCAACCAACCUUAAACCUAAUUGAAUUUCAACAUAAGAUAACCUUCACCAAACACCGCAAUACCAUGUUAGGAAAACCAAAUAAUGGUUAAGACUAAGUGAAUUUACUUGGGGAUAACUUCACUCAAGAACUUAAUAAAUUCAGCUUAUUUGGUUGGCAUUUUGUAUUAACUUCAACUGAAAUUAAGGAAGUCACUUCCUUCACUCCUCGAAAAUUAACUUAGGAUAAGUUACUUUUUGGAAAGUGAACUUCCCAAGAAGUAAAAGUAAGGAGUUUGAACCAAAUAAGACCUAAGGGAGAGAUCUUCUUCUGGGUCUACCCAAUAGCCCAACCAAAACAGGGCUAAUGGCAACCUAAAUUUGGAUGGUGAAAUUCUCUUUUCUCACUUCAAAAUUAAAAAAAUAAUAGAAAAAAAAGGUUAUAAAGGACCAUAGUAAAUUCAAUACAAUUGUGGAUCCAUGGGCCCUCUAUCCAAAGUUAGCGCUUGGUGGCAAGAGUAAACUAGAGAUCGUGCAAGGGCAAACAAUUUUUAUGCCAUUGAUUAUGAAAUCAAACACUUGAACGUCCUCCAUAGCUCUAUAUACUUGCAGAAUAAUCAGAAUCUUCUCCACCCCAAGAAAUGAACCAACUCUUCAGGUUGGAAAGAGUCAUGAUCUUAUCUUUGAAGGCGAUGAGAAUUUCACUCUUAAUCAAAUUGCAAAACAAAUUUCUGAUGACUUAAACUAAAGUAAAUGUCUAAUAUGAAGCUUCAUUCUCCGUACGGAUGACGUUUCAUGGCGAUAGGUGGAAUCCCUAUCUUUUAGAACAAAACUACCGAUUCUUUCAAAAGAUGGACUCUGCUUAUUACUAGGACAUUAAUUCCUAACAGCGUUCAUUGCACUUUGGCUUUCUUUUACGGAUCCUGUGAUUACUUUAAACAACACAGUUUAUAAAAUGAAAUCUCCAGAGCUGGAUUCUAUCCUAUUAAUGGGGAUUUUAAUCGAAUCUUGGAGAUAUCUAAAAGAAAGAAAUUCAAAAACACAAAUACUGGUGAGCGUCAAUUUUGUUCUUUUAACAACUCUGUUUUGAUUGAUGUAGUAUUGCAAGGGAGGGCUGAAUCAAAUCCAUAUUGGCAGAGCUUGGUAUUUUUUUUGCUCCCUUGCACACUAUGGUGUGAUAAUGUUGGAGCCAUUAUAUAUUUGCCAAUCCGAUGCAUCUUUCAUACAUGUGCAAAACAUUGAACUCAAUUUUCAUUUUGUAAGGGAACAAGUUGCUGCAAGGUCUGUUCAAAUAAAGUUUAUUUCCUUUGAGAAGUAGAUUGCAGAUGCGUUUACUAAACUGCUAGGAGAACGCCAAAUUGAGAAGUUUUGAGACAAGCUUCUGUUGCUCUCUAGACCUACCUUUAGCUUGCAAGGGGGUUUUAAGGGAGUAGAUAACCUUCAUUAAUUUGUUAUAUAUAUCUUUAGCUCUUCCUAGUCUAUCUCUUGUAUUUACAAUGAAUGCAAUACACACAAAAUAUAUUUCUCCUCAAAUAUAUAUUUUAAUAUUUGUCUAUUAAACAUAUAUUAAAUAAUUG
rnacentral:misc_RNA from 1 species